ensembl:lncRNA
UCUUAUGAUAAAAACUUUAUUGUCUUAAAUAUCAAAUGUUUUACACACCACUUUUUCUUCAGAAAGUUCCUAUUUAAAAAAAGAAAAAUAAAAUAAAGUAUUUUAUUUAGGGCUGACUUACAUUUCAGUAUGUGACAAAAAUUCAAACCCAAAUGCAUCUAGUUCACUCAGUUUCAGACAGGUCCUAUGUUCAGCCCCUAAACGAAUGGCACAAUGCCACCAAUUUUGGGAUUCCUGAGUUUGGUUCCCUUAAAGUUCUCAGAGUUUUCCCAACUCUCAAAACCAAAGCAUCAUGGGAGUGACAGGGCCACCGGCAAGACUUUCUGCCAGUCAGCCUAGUUCUUCUUUUAAGAUGCAGUAGUCUCAAAGCUUAAAGAAGUCAGAAAAUCUUGCAAGAUAAGAGUAACUGCAAGAACAUAUAAAGAAGGAAAAGAAAAGACGGGGUUUCUAUUUGCUAAGAUUUGCCAAACAUGGCUACAAAACUGGUAAACAAACCUUUCUCGAGUGCAAAGUCCAUUAGCCCAACUUGCCAUGAAGAUGAGAUUUGGAAUAAAAAUGAACAAAUCAAUUUUUGUUGUAGAUACAAAGCAAAAAAAUAAAAUUCAAUCAAUAUAUUGAAUUUAUUUGAAUUUAUCACUAGAACUAUUUCAAAAGGAUGAUCGGGGAUAGAAUGGAAAUCUAGUCAUUCAAAUGGGAAGGUCUUGGAUGGGUGGCAUAAACUCAGAAAGCUGUGAAGAUUGAGGAAAGGAAAAACAAGUCUGGUCAGCAUCAGGUCAUCUCAGACAGAAGGAAUCAGGAAACAAAUCUGCCUGCCUCUGGCAGGAAAUACAGGUCUACCAUUUUUAGGCCACAGACACAUUCAUUCAGGGUUGUGUGUAAAACUAACUCUUGUAAACAAAAUUAACUUCCCAUCAGAAAUACAUGUUCCUAGGAAAAAAAAAUACUGCAGCAUGCCCCCCUUCCCAAAUCAGCUAAUGAAAACCUUCCUACAGAACAUAAAGAAACCUAGUUCUGUAUAAAUUAUAAUAAUUUUGUAUUUCAUGCCGCCACGGCCCCAAUAAUCCAUAGCUGGCUUAACGUUUUUAGGUAAAAGAAACACUCUCUAACUCCCAUGCCCUUGAACCGUUUUCUUAGCAGAUUUCACUCCAGAAGACAGUGCCCUGAAACUUGUCAGCUGGAUCCUUUCACGUUCUGCAGCCUCCAGAGGGUCUAGAUUACCAAUCAUCAAUACAUAACGGAUAAACUUUUGAGAACAUUUUCUAACUGUAAACCUCAGGAGUCACUAGUUAUGAUCCAGAAAUUCUACCUGUAUGCUUCAGGAUUACAACAUAUAUGUGGCAUUUAUUUAACAGGUUAAAAAAUGUGCCUUCGACGAAGCUGUCUUGUAGACAGGCCUGGUAGAGCCUCAAAUGCUCCCAUCAAUCCUGUCCACCAAUCCCAGCCAUUGCUGGUUACAUGUUCUGCUCUAGAUUCCCGUUUUCACAAGUUGCACCCAGCUGCUUUAAAAUAGCACAUCCUGCAGAACCCUCUGCUAAGUCGUGCUAGCCCAGAUGGUCAGUGUUCCGGAGCAGCCGUGCUCACAAAGGGAUGCGAGGAUGCUGCUGCAGCAUACUCCCAUGUUUCUACCCUGCAUGUGAGGCGGUCUGAUAGAUUGACUGACUGUCACUGGCGCAUUUUUAGGGUCAUCUUCCAUUCAUUUGUUGCACUUCUUUCCUGGCCACCCCCCUCUCCUCCAGCGUUGUAAAUGGAUUUCUCAAUAACUGAUCUCCUCAGGCAUUUAUACAUGUUACAUUUUUUUGUUGGUUUCUCUGAUUCCAUUUUUUUAAAAAGUUUUUUUUUUUGAGACGGAGUCUCACUCUUGCCCAGGCUAGAGUCCAGUGGCGUGAUCUUGGCUCACUGCAACCUCCGCUUCCUGGGUUCAAGCGAUUCUUCUGCCUCAGUUUCCUGAGUAGCUGGGACUACAGGCAUGUGCCACCAUGCCCAACUGAUUUUUUAUUUUUAGUAGAGAUAAGGUUUCACCAUAUUGGCCAGGCUGGUCUUGAACUCCUGACCUCAUGAUCCACCCACCUUGGCCUCCCAAAGUGCCGGGAUUACAGGUGUGAGCCACCGUGCCUGGCCUAAAAAAUAUGUAUUUUUAAAGAGCUGUUUUAGACCCACAGCAUCUGAUUCCAUUGUAAGCCUGAUUUUCCCAGUCUGCUCUGAAGCAGAACCAAAUAACUCUUUUAAAAUAAAUGCACGCUAACAGCAAAAAUAGAUGUUGCUUUUGAAGCUAAAAUUUGUUUCACGUCUCCCUUCUAGACUGAAAGCUUCACAAGGGUAGGGUUCCAAUCUGUUUUACUUACCCCUGAAUCCCCAGAGUUCACCGGUGCCUCACACAUAGGCACUCAAUAUUUGAUGAAUGAAUCAAAGUAGCAAGGAAUUCUUGUUCAAAGACUCAUGUUGCAUAGCCUUCAAAAGGAACCAAUUUCCUUUCAAAUAUGUAAGAUUUUCUUGAACUUUUCUUUCCCUUAACCAGCACAACACUGAUAGUACAACAAAGAAACAUCUAAAAACUGUUUUUGGUGAUGCAAAAAUCCCUAUUAUAAUCCUAGCACUGUGGAAAUCUAAUGAUCUGAUGCAGGAUAAUUGUGAAAUCAACUCAGUCAAGGUGAGCCUGAGGACCACUCUGUGUGCCCUCCAUCUCCAGGAGAGCUAUUUUCAAACUUCCCCUAAUCUUCUUCUCAUUCCCCACCAAAAUUUGAUGCCUCUGCUAUUCAGAGAAACUAAGGCACAAAGAAAAUCAAGCACAUCGAAGGUUCACUCCUAAGUUCAUUCAAUGAACUCCUAGUAACACCUACCGAGGAAUCACUAAGGUGUAAAACUUGAACCAUUAUUUUACAUUUCCAGUUCUCAAGGACAGGCUUUGAAUUUACUUUGUUAAGAGGAAUUAGCAAUUCAAGAAAAAAAAAAAAAGCUUUUAUUUUCUGUACCUCCUAACACAAAAGGUAACAUUCAUCUUCUAGGAAGGGAAACUCUUGAUAACUCUGUGUCUUUCUAGGUCAGCCACAGACUACAGUAAGUCACCAAAUCCAAAGGGGAAAUUUGGGCUUUUUGGUAUUUGUGCUAGAGAACAGUAGAAUGUAUAAUCUGGCCAGCUUCUCUUGGGACACACUGCCAGUGAUAACAGGUUUGAAAUAUGCAGCAGUUCAAUCAUCCUGCUCACCCUCACCACAGGUGGCAAACAGGUAGGAAAAGGCCAUUGCAAUGCCCUGCAGCUUUUCUGGCCAAUGAUUUGCAAGGCUGUUUGCUAUAUAUAUAUAUAUAUUUAUAUAUGUGACAGGAUAAAAGCCACCAUAAGUGAAGAGUACGUCUGUAGAUAUAAAAAUCCCUUGCUUUUAAAUCUAUAUAAAAUUAACUAUAUUUGUCAAUCACCAUAUGUAUAUGCUAGCUUACAUAUAUAUAUAUAUAUAUAUAGACAUGAGCUUGACAGUUAACCUAAAUUUUUAUGGCUUUCACUGGAGAUAGAAAGCUGUAGUAAGACAACCAGCAAAUUCCACAUUAACUGGUUAUCAUAAAAUCAGUGGCACAAAGCCUUGUAUUCCAUUUCUAUGUACCCUCUUGCUAGAGACAUGCUUUGGGAAAAACACACAGGGUUGUGUCUCCCUUUAGUGCAUAUGGAGACAGGGAGCUCUAGAAGAUGUGGGUUGCAAGGCAGAAGAGUUUUAACACAUGCACUCACCAUCUCUCCAGCUUCCUUUGCCAAGCAACUGGUUAUCUUUUUUUUUUGAGAUGGAGUUUCGCUCCUGUUGCCCAGGCUGGAGGGCAAGCAAUGGCGUGAUCUCACUGCAACCUCCACUUCCCAGGUUCAAGCGAUUCUCCUGCCUCAGCCUCCUGAGUAGCUGGAAUUACAGGCAUGCACCACCACGCCCAGCUAAUUUUUAAAUUUUCAGUAGAGACGGAGUUUCACCAUGUUGGCCAGGCCCGUCUCAGACUCCUGACCUCAGGUGAUCCACCUGCCUUGGCCUCCCAAAGUGCUGGGAUUACAGGCGUGAGCCGCCGCGCCCAGCUGCAACUGGUUAUCUUUAUGUGUUAAUAGCUGAAGCCCAAACUGUGGGAUGAAGGCUACUGGCUGUCUGGAGCCCUGAACAGGUAUGGAAAUAAUUCUUAACAGCAUCAGUGACCAAAAUCUAUAACCUAUGUAAAGCUGCUGUCUGGUUACUAAGCACAUCUUUCUGCUCAGGAACCAACUUCAGGGAAAUGGCACAAAUUACACAGGAAAAUCUCUCUUUGGUGAAGAAACAGAGACCACCCUUGCAGUAAGUGCUGACCGCAAAACUGCCCGCUACUUGUUACGGUAAAGGAGCUGUCCAGUAAAGGUGCCCAUUACUGGUUAUUACUGUUGGCAACCAGAAUUCACAAGGAUUUGAUUGUAUUCUUAGAAGUUAACCCAUAAUUUCUGCAUUUUUGGAGCUCUUAAUUGAAUAAAAGCUGACAAUGAAGGUCCGCUAUUGUAAUGCUCAAUAUACCCUUUGCAUUCUAGAGCUGCUACAUUUAAGUCAUCCAAAAUAUUAAUAGUGUCAACAGCUUCGUUUUGUUUUUGUUUUUUUUUUUGGUGAGACACAGUCUCACUCUGCCACCCACGCUGGAGUGCAGUGGCGCAAUCUCAGCUCACUGCAACCUCCAUCUCCCAGGUUCAAGCAAUUCUCCUGCCUCAGUCUCCCAAGUAGCUGGGAUUACAGGCGUGUGCCACCACACCCAGCUAAUUUUUUGUAUUUUUAGUAGAGACGAGGUUUCACCGUGUUGGCCAAAUAGCUUAGUUUUUAUAAAAAUGAUGGGCAAGAUGAUUUUAAAAAUCAAAAGCAAUUAUACAUUGGGCUUUAUGUAGUCCCAGCUACUUAGAAGGAUGAGGUGGAAGAAUUGCUUGAGCC